rnacentral:rRNA from 1 species
UAUCCCCCCCCUGUGUGCCCUUGCCCUCCCCCACCGACCUGCAUAACGCGAAGAACCUUACCUGGCCUUGACAUCCACGGAAGCCCUGAGAGAUCGGGGUGUGCCUUCGGGAACCGUGUGACAGGUGCUGCAUGGCUGUCGUCAGCUCGUGUCGUGAGAUGUUGGGUUAAGUCCCGCAACGAGCGCAACCCUCAUCGUAUGUUGCCAUCAGGUAAUGCUGGGCACUCGUGCGAGACCGCCGGUGAUAAGCCGGAGGAAGGUGGGGACGACGUCAAGUCAUCAUGGCCCUUACGAGUAGGGCUACAAACGUGCUACAAUGGUGGUGACAGUGAGCAGCCACUCCGCAAGGAGGAGCUAAUCUCUAAAAGCCAUCUCAGUUCAGAUUGUCCUCUGCAACUCGAGGGCAUGAAGUUGGAAUCGCUAGUAAUCGUGGAUCAGCAUGCCACGGUGAAUACGUUCCCGGGUCUUGUACACACCG